GAAUUUUCGGCAAUGGGGGAAACCCUGACCGAGCAACGCCGCGUGAGUGAAGAAGGCCUUCGGGUUGUAAAGCUCUGUUGUAAGGGAAGAAUGCUAGAUAGAGGGAAUGCUAUCUAGGUGACGGUACCUUACCAGAAAGCCACGGCUAACUACGUGCCAGCAGCCGCGGUAAUACGUAGGUGGCAAGCGUUAUCCGGAAGUAUUGGGCGGAAAGGGUGCGCAGGCGGCAAUUUAAGUCCGUGGUAAGAGACUGAAGCUCAACUUCAGGUGGCCAUGGAAACUGGGUUGCUAGAGUGCAGGAGAGGGUAGUGGAAUUCCAUGUGUAGCGGUAAAAUGCGUAGAUAUAUGGAGGAACACCAGUGGCGAAAGCGGCUACCUGGCCUGUAACUGACGCUCAUGCACGAAAGCGUGGGGAGCAAAUAG
rnacentral:rRNA from 1 species